GGUCGACAGAAGCAAGGCAAGGGGCGACCCCCAUUGUUCCAAAACCCUAAAGUCACAAUUUCUUGCAAUUGGAGGCUCAAAUCAUAACCAAAACGAAAUCCAAGCUUAGAAUUGUGUCCCUCAUCGCAAGAGGAUUAAGAGGCAAAGAGUCCGGUUCAUCUAGCGGACAAGUCGAGGGGAAUUCACGAGGAAAAGGCGCGCUUUAAAGUUUUUCAGGUACUCAAGUGAAGGAUGAUGAUCAAGCAGUUGAUUUGGACCGAACACCUAACUUUACGCUUCCGCACUUGAACUUCGUUUUGUUAUUUUGUAAACU